rnacentral:rRNA from 1 species
GACGGAGGGUGCAAGCGUUAUUCGGCAUCAUUGGGCGUAAAGAGCGUGUAGGCGGCCGGUCAAGUCAGAGGUGAAAGCCCAGGGCUUAACCCUGGAAGUGCCUUUGAAACUGGUCGGCUUGAGUUCGGGAGAGGAAAGCGGAAUUCCGGGUGUAGAGGUGAAAUUCGUAGAUAUCCGGAGGAACACCGGUGGCGAAGGCGGCUUUCUGGACCGAAACUGACGCUGAGACGCGAAAGCGUGGGGAGCAAACAGG